CCAAGCAGUAAGGCUGAACAAUGCAUCCACCAACUAGCCUAUCCCUUCACAUCUCCAACCACCACUAUUUUAUCACUUCCUGUCAGAGUCACCCUAUGUACAGCCACUCCUGUGCCUAGCCUCCCUUUAUGGGCGUACAAAUCGUCUACAGACGUAGGAGAUAAAGUCAUUUCAACUCAAAGGAUCGUGAGGGUGUGGAACAAGCAGCCAGCACAAGUGGUGCAGAGUUUUCAUAACUGAUGAUUCCUCAAGUCCAGAAGUCAAUCCUUUGCAUUGAGAGGAAAUGUGAGAAUGUAGUUCAAAGGAAAUUCAAUCCGAGCUGAACUUUGUUGCGGAGAAUAGACUGAAUUUGAGAAGAAAGGGGAGGCACAGCCAGAGGAAAAGUUUCUCUAAGAAUGACAAUAGUAAAAAGAGAUGAUAAAGACAGUAAUAAAACCUAUCAAAACUUUGGGACAGUAUAAAAAUAAAAUUAGGUUCCAGCAGGGAAACGGAAAGACAAACAAGCAGAAAGCAAACUGAGAAAGUUUCACUCAAAAGAUAUCCAUGCACAUGUAUAAUACUAAGGCAA